rnacentral:rRNA from 1 species
AGCAGCCGCGGUAAUUCCAGCUCCAAUAGCGUAUAUUAAAGUUGUUGCAGUUAAAAAGCUCGUAGUUGAAUUUCGGGGUCAGUAGGUCGGUCGUGCCACUGGUAUGAACUGGUUUUACUGAUUCCUCCCUCUUGAAGAACUGUAAUGCCAUUAAUUUGGUGUUGCAGGGAAUCAGGACUGUUACUUUGAAAAAAUUAGAGUGUUUAAAGCAGGCUUUAGCUUGAAUACAUUAGCAUGGAAUAAUGAAAUAGGACGUUCGAACCUAUUUUGUUGGUUUCUAGGAUUGACGUAAUGAUUAAUAGGGAUAGUUGGGGGCAUUAGUAUUCAAUUGUCAGAGGUGAAAUUCUUGGAUUUAUUGAAGACUAACUACUGCGAAAGCAUUUUGCCAAGGAUGUUUUCAUUAAUCAAGAACGAAAGUUAGGGGAUCGAAGACGAUCAGAUACCGUCGUAGUCUUAACCAUAAACUAUGCCGACUAGGGAUCGGAUGAUGUUAAUUUUUUAAUGACUCA